AAUAAUUAAAAAAUAAUAAUAAACUUCUUAAUACCCUAGUUCUAACAUAUAUAUUGCAGACAAUUAAUGAUGUGCUUUUUGCGGUAAUCUCAUCCGGGCUCUCAAGAUACCUUGAGUAUCGAUCACCAUCUGGUCUUCCCGAGGGGCUUCAAAUCACUGGGGUUGCUUUGUUCAACUUGAGGGCACUUCCCAAUUUUAAGGAUGAGUUGAGGUUGAAAAAGACAGUUUUGUCAUCUGGUAACAUGUUUGGCAUGCUUCUAUUGCCUGUUUAUUACCAUAAACCCGAUGUCGGUUGCAGUCCUUUAAAGCAUGUAGAGAAAAUUAAGGAAGUGAUGACUAAGAAAAAAAUGUCGUCCGAAGCUUACUUCUCUUACAAACUCGGACAACUUGCAAUGUCAUGUUUUGGACCAAAGGUAUCAUAUAAAUAAGAUUGUAUUUCUUUUACUAUCAUUAUUGACUUUUAGAAGA